rnacentral:rRNA from 1 species
CGUAGGUAAUUUACCUUCGGGUGGGGAAUAACAGCCGGAAACGGCUGCUAAUACCGCAUAAUGCAGCGGCUCGACAUCGAGACAGUUGUUAAAGCGGGGGAUCCAAAAGACCUCGCGCCUGAAGAGAAGCCUGCGGCAGAUUAGCUAGUUGGUAAGGUAAUGGCUUACCAAGGCGACGAUCUGUAACCGGCCUGAGAGGGCGGUCGGUCACACUGACACUGAUAUACGGGUCAGACUCCUACGGGAGGCAGCAGUCGGGAAUUUUGGGCAAUGGGCGAAAGCCUGACCCAGCAACGCCGCGUGAAGGAUGAAAUCCCUCGGGAUGUAAACUUCGCAAGAAUGGGAAGAAUAAGUAGAGGAUAAUACCCUUUAUGAUGACGGUACCAUUUGUAAGCUCCGGCUAACUUCGUGCCAGCAGCCGCGGUAAUACGAGGGGAGCAAGCGUUGUUCGGAUUUACUGGGCGUAAAGGGCGCGUAGGCGGCCACUGCAAGUCGGUUGUGAAAUCUCCGGGCUUAACCCGGAAAGGUCAAUCGAUACUGCAGGGCUAGAGUGCAGAAGGGGCAACUGGAAUUCUCGGUGUAGCGGUGAAAUGCGUAGAUAUCGAGAGGAACACCUGCGGC